UGCGUAGGCGGUCGGGCAAGUUUGAUGUGAAAUCUCCGGGCUCAACCCGGAAAUUGCAUUGAAUACUGCCCGGCUAGAGGAUUGGAGGGGAGACUGGAAUGCUCGGUGUAGCAGUGAAAUGCGUAGAUCUCGAGCGGAACACCAGUGGCGAAGGCGAGUCUCUGGACAAUUCCUGACGCUGAGGCACGAAAGCCAGGGGAGCAAACG
rnacentral:rRNA from 1 species